rnacentral:rRNA from 1 species
AGCAGCCGCUGUAAUCCCAGCUCCAAUAGCGUAUAUUAAAGUUGUUGCAGUUAAAAAGCUCGUAGUUGAAUUUCGGGAUCAAAUUGUUGGUCGUGCUUCGGUACGCACUGGCAUUAUUGGUUCCUACCUUCUGAAGAACUGCGAUGUCAUUAAUUUGGUGUCGUGGGGAAUCAGGACUGUUACUUUGAAAAAAUUAGAGUGUUUAAAGCAGGCGCACGCUUGAAUACAUUAGCAUGGAAUAAUGAAAUAGGACGUUUGAUUCUAUUUUGUUGGUUUCUAGGAUCGACGUAAUGAUUAAUAGGGAUAGUUGGGGGCAUUAGUAUUCAAUUGUCAGAGGUGAAAUUCUUGGAUUUAUUGAAGACUAACUACUGCGAAAGCAUUUGCCAAGGAUGUUUUCAUUAAUCAAGAACGAAAGUUAGGGGAUCGAAGACGAUCAGAUACCGUCGUAGUCUUAACCAUAAACUAUGCCGACUAGGGAUCGGAUGAUGUUAAUUUUUUAAUGACUC